rnacentral:lncRNA from 1 species
GCUUGUACAAACAGGUUUUGACACAUUAGCUGGUUAGGAUAAUUACCUACUUUCACUACCUGUGGGCUGUGGGACUGGGACUCCAACCCAAACUCACAAAUCCAACUGAGAGCUGACCAGUGCGGUAUAUUGACGACUCUGUCUCAGUCGGACUCAGUCAGUCAUCUAUGUCUUUUCUUUUUAUCACUUCCAAAGCUCAAGUUCUAUGUUGAAAAUAAUUCUUGUGGGGAAAAAAAUGGAAAAUCAAAUAGAGGGUUGGGGUUUCAGUGGAAUUUUAAUUACUGUUAUAUUAAGAACCCGCAGCCCCCUGUUUGAAUUGUUCUGAAGAAGGGGUUUGAUAUUUUCAUUUUUCAAAAGCAGUUUCUUUUUUAAUCUUUUUGUAUUUUCAAUUUUAACUUUUGUGAUUUUUUAACUCUUUUUUAUUUCCUUUUAUGUAUUUGGUUAUCGAGUGUUUUGCCUACUGCCUAGUGACUGUAACAUAACCUGUUUUCUUGUUGAAGAAAGAAUAGAAGAAUGUCGUUCUUUCCUGGAAAUAAAAUAGAUUAAAAAACAAGUGUUUGUAGCUUUUUUAUUUUAUUUUAUGAAAUAAAUAAGUCAUUGCCCUUUUUUUUGGAUUAUUUAAAAUACAGGUAAUUACUGUGCUUUUUUGUUUGAAGAAUUAUUAAUUCUAGAAAAAUUUCAUAUUUAGCUUAUCAUUGGUAUGGAUUUAUUCCUCUAAUAGUAUAUUUGAGUGUUCUAUGAUAUUGUUUUGUUCCAUUAUUAAUAUUAGGAGAAGUAUUUAGUGCUUCUAUGGGUUUUUAUUUUUUUCUUCAGCAGUAUUUUCUCUGUCUAAAGGCCCUGUAUUUCAUGUGUUGAUUGUUUGGUGUAGAUUACUUUUGAUAGCAAUUUGAUGAGGUUUUAAAGAUUAUAGGUGUUAAAUAACCCAAUUUAUUUAAAUGCACCCAUGGAUUGUAUUUUGAGCAGAUUAACUGAAAAGCUUGGUAGAAUUUAGGCAACGAAGUAAGUCUGUCAGAAAUUUAAAAUUGGUUUGGGAAUCAGUUGUCUACUAAAUAAAUGUUUGUGGAUACAUGCAUUGAUUCUCAAUUAUGUUAUUGAUUUUGGGAUGCUCCGAGUUCUUGUAGCUCUUUGCUAAUGGAAAAUGUUUUUGCUUUUGGGCAAGGAUAGAAAGCUAAAGUUCUCUGGCACUGCAGUGUUCUAGCUCUUUUUUGGGUUACGUGGCAACAUUGUAUUUUUUAAGAUAAGGGGGAAGACCAAGUUUCUUGCCAGUUGGCAGUGCGAUGUUCACUUUUUGUCAUCUGUUUGGACUUAGUUUGGAAGGGCUAGCUUUUUACAUGGUUCUAUAUCUACGACUAAGCUUAGAGAUUGAGAGCAUAAUCUUGAUAAUGCUAGUUCCUGAAACUUCGAUGAGAAUGAGCUAUUUUGUGCGUGAGUGAGUGUGUGUAUAUAUCUUAG